UUUAGACGCAGCUAUAAAUUUUCGUAUUCAAAUUUAAUCGUUUGUCUUAUUUAAUUUUUUUUAUGAUUAAUAUUUUUAUUGCUGUUAGAUGAUAAAAUAUGAAUAAUACUUUAUUUGUAACUUAUGGUUUUUAAUGUUUUUUUUAAAAAAUUAAAUAAGACAGACGAUUAAAAUUGGACAUGAAGGGCUUGUUCACUUUGA
rfam:Oryza sativa (indica cultivar-group) chromosome 9, whole genome shotgun sequence.